GACGAACGCUGGCGGCGUGCUUAACACAUGCAAGUCGAACGGGCCCGCUCUCUUUUUUGGGGGUGGGUUGAGUGGCGAACGGGUGAGUAUCACGUGAGUAACCUGCCCCCUGCUCCUGGAUAACUGCUUGAAAGGGCGGCUAAUACGGGGUGUGCCGGCUGGUCCGCAUGGGCCUGGUCGGGUUAGUUUCAUCUUCGGGUGUUUCGGUGGGGGAUGGGCUCGCGGCCUAUCAGCUUGUUGGUGGGGGGAUGGCCCACCAAGGCGGUGGCGGGUAGCCGGCCUGGGAGGGUGGGCGGCCAGACUGGGACUGAGACACGGCCCAGACUCCGGCGGGAGGCAGCGGGGGGGGGUAUUGCACAAUGGGCGGAAGCCUGAUGCAGCGACGUCGCGUGAGGGAUGGAGGCCUUCGGGUUGUGAACCUCUUUCUCCGGUGGUGAAGGCCCUGUCCGUUGCGGCGGGGUUGACGGUAGCCGGGUAUGAAGCGCCGGCUAACUACGUG
rnacentral:rRNA from 1 species